rnacentral:rRNA from 1 species
AUUCCAGCUCCAGAAGCGUAUGCUAAAGUUGUUGCAGUUAAAAAGCUCGUAGUUGAAUUUCUGGUAGGGUUGACCUGGCGUUUGGAUGAAUGUCCAUUUAGCUGUGCGUCGGCCCAGCCAUCCUCCCCUUUUUCGGAAGGGGUCGUUCACUGUAAUCAAAUCAGAGUGUUCAAAGCAGGUCGUAGACCGGAAUGUUUAUUAUGGGAUGAUAAGAUAGGACUUGGGUGCUAUUUUGUUGGUUUGCACACUUGAGUAAUGAUUAAUAGGGACAGUUGGGGGCAUUCAUACUCCAUUGUCAGAGGUGAAAUUCUUGGAUUAACGGAAGAAGAACUUCUGCGAAAGCGUCUGCCAAGGAUGUUUUCAUCG